AGAUUGAACGCUGGCGGCAUGCCUAACACAUGCAAGUCGAACGGGAGUAGCAAUACUCUAGUGGCGGACGGGUGAGGAAUACGUAGGAAUUUGCCCUUAAGUGGGGGAUAACCCGGGGAAACCCGGAUUAAUACCGCAUGACCUCGAAAGAGCAAAGUGGGGGAUCGCAAGACCUCACGCUUUUGGAGAAGCCUACGUCGGAUUAGCUAGUUGGUGAGGUAAUGGCUCACCAAGGCGACGAUCCGUAACUGGUCUGAGAGGAUGAUCAGUCACACCGGAACUGAGACACGGUCCGACUCCUACGGAGGCAGCAGUGGGAAUAUGGACAAUGGGCGCAAGCCUGAUCCAGCAAUGCCGCGUGUGUGAACGAAGGCCUUCGGUUAGUAAAGCAACGUUUAAGGUUAGGAAGAAAAAACGUACGCGUACUAAACGAACCAAGU
rnacentral:rRNA from 1 species